CGGACGGGUGAGUAACGCGUGAGAAUCUGCCUUCAGGAUGGGGACAACAAUUGGAAACGAUUGCUAAUACCCGAUAUGACGAAAGUUGAAAGAUUUAUCGCCUGGAGAUGAGCUCGCGUCAGAUUAGCUAGAUGGUGUGGUAAAGGCGCACCAUGGCGACGAUCUGUAGCUGGUCUGAGAGGAUGAGCAGCCACACUGGGACUGAGACACGGCCCAGACUCCUACGGGAGGCAGCAGUGGGGAAUUUUCCGCAAUGGGCGCAAGCCUGACGGAGCAAUACCGCGUGAGGGAGGAAGGCUCUUGGGUCGUAAACCUCUUUUCUCAGGGAAGAACACAAUGACGGUACCUGAGGAAUAAGCAUCGGCUAACUCUGUGCCAGCAGCCGCGGUAAUACAGAGGAUGCAAGCGUUAUCCGGAAUGAUUGGGCGUAAAGCGUCCGUAGGUGGUUUUGUAAGUCUGUGGUUAAAGCGUGGAGCUUAACUCCAUAACGGCCAUGGAAACUACCAGACUAGAGUUAAGUAGGGGUAGAGGGAAUUCCCAGUGUAGCGGUGAAAUGCGUAGAGAUUGGGAAGAACACCGGUGGCGAAAGCGCUUUACUGGACUUAUACUGACACUGAGGGACGAAAGCUAGGGGAGCGAAUGGGAUUAGAUACCCCAGUAGUC
rnacentral:rRNA from 1 species